AAGAGAGGUUGGUAGACUUCCAUUAGGCUCUUUAUGAAUCAGCUUUUACCUUGGAACAUCUCCUUGGUCCAGAGCCUGGUUCUCAUCUUGGCAGGCUUGGAAACACACAUUUUUCAACACUGAGGGUGUCUCUAUCUCACUCCGAAUAGGGUUUCAUUGUCUGAGCUAGCAAGUGCUUAUUGUGUAAGCUACUUGCUAAGUAUUUGUUGAUGAUGAGAAGCAAAACUGCUUGGGGACUAGGCAUUUGCUGCCUCUACUCAGCAUCCCCCACCCCCGCCCCACUUUUUUAAAUGGAAAACCAUCCAGGAAACCAGAUCAUCACCAGAAGAUUGCUUGGUCACUCUGGCUGCUGUGUAGAGAAUGGACCACACAGGGCAAGAAUGGAAGCAGGAUGCCUUGCUCGAGACUUCACCCAAGCCAGAGAUGAUGGUGGCUCGGUGUGACAACAGUGCGGAUGAAGAAAAGGUAAAUUUGUGCAUUUUUGGAGGUUAAAAUGACAUGCCUUUUUGAUCAAUUGGAUGUGACAGAUGAGGGAAAGAGGAAUAAAGGGAGAUUCCUUGUUUUUUGUCUAAGCAAUUUGUUGAAUGGUGCUUUUGUCAACUGAGAUGGGAGAAGCAAAAGCUGGUGGAGGUUGAAGGUGGGUUAUCAAUUUGUAAUUCCUCUUAGGCACACAGGGGUGUGGUCAGACCUGCUCACCUAUCUGGUGCCAGCUCCAAAGGGGCAGACCUGAGCUGGAACCUGGAAAGGGUGACUUUUUCCCAGUGGCUGUCUGGAAUCCACCUGCUUUCCUUUGCUAGCAAGCCCACUCCCCAUGAGUUAUACCUGCAGGAAGUUCUACCUGUGCCUGUCAGCUCUCCUUGGAUCUUGAGCCCCUGGCUCCUCUCUCUCUGAGGCAGGUCCUGCCUUCUGUUGAAUUCAGCUCAGUUCCACAAAUUCUUAUGGACACCAACUUAGUUUCAGAUCCAUGCUAGAUGUUGGUGGCACAAAGACCUGCAAGGCAUGGCUAAGCCAGCUUCCACAGUUCCUGCCUGCUCUCUGGAGCAGGACUUUUAAAACAUUCAUUCAUGGAGGGACUGUGUAUUAGUCCGGUCUCUUGCUGCUAUAAGGAUAUACCCGAGACUGUGUAAUUUAUAGAGGAAAGAGGUUUAAUUGACUCACAGUUCUGAAGGGCUGGGGAGGCCUGAGGAAACUUAAAUUACGGCAGAAAGGGAAGCAAACACACAGCAGUAACGAGGAGAAGUGCUGAGCGAAAGGGGGAAGAGCCCCCUAUAAAACCAUCAGAUCUUGUGUGAACUUACUAUCAUAAGUAUGGGGGAAACCCCCUCUGUGAUUCAAUUAUCUCCACCUUGCCCCUCUCACGACACAUGGGAAUUAUGGGAACUAUAAUUCAAGAUGAGAUUUGGGUGGGGACACAGCCAAACCAUAUCAGACUGCAAGGGAGAGGUCUGUAACUCCUGUCAUGUGAUAUACAAUUUAUGUUUAGGUACAUUAUUUUCGUUUUUCUAGUAAGGGGACCUAUGGCUUCUAAUAGACACUAUAAAAGGUAGGCG
ensembl:lncRNA